ensembl:lncRNA
UUUUUUUAUACCGCCCUGACUAUAACGUCCAGAAAGUUUUCAACCACUGCGAAAACAAAGCUAGGGAGACAUACCUCUGAGCUUCGUGGUCAUUCUAGCAGCACGUCUAUUAAGAUGGCUCUAGGUGUGUUGAAAGCAAAGAUGACAGCUUUACAGGAGAAGGUGGACGAAUCCGAGAAGAAAGCUAAUAUGUGGAAGGGGAUGGCUGAAGAAGAAAAAAGAUUACGUGAAAGGGCUGAGGGAGAAUUGGCGGAGGUAAAGAAGGAACUGAACUUGACCAAAGCAAAGCUGUCUUCUGCACUGCCGAUGCUUCCAGAAAUGGAAAGGAGACGACUGGAGGCAGAGACGCAGCUAACUGGAAUCUAAUCUAAUUACAUAUCUA